CCGAGUUAGGGUCUUCUCAGGCCCGACCUCCCAACCCUUUGUCGAACUUACCUUUUGUUGCUUCGGCGGGCCCGCCACAAGGCCGCCGGGGGACCGUUAAACGUCCUCUGGCCCGCGCCCGUCGAUAGCCUAACUUUACAAAUUCUGAAUAAACGUGUCACAAUCUGAGUACCUUUAAAAAUAAAGCAA
rnacentral:misc_RNA from 1 species